UGCGGGAGGGAGGCACGGCGUCUCGCCGGUUUCAUACGCCGGUCCAGGCGGGUUCAAUUCCCGCUCCCGCGCCCA
rnacentral:tRNA from 1 species